rnacentral:tRNA from 1 species
GGAGAGGUGGCAGAGCGGUUGAUUGCACCGGUCUUGAAAACCGGAGACGGGGUAACCCGUUCGUGGGUUCGAAUCCCACCCUCUCCG